GAACUUGAAUAAAAUUUCUCUGCAUAGAAAUAUCUGGCAUAAUGCUGAAAGAUAAUUAUUUUCUUACACUCAAAGUAAACUACUAACUUAUGGGUUACUACUUUAUUGGAAGAAUUGUCAAAAUAGAAACUAGCACAUGGAAAUGGAAGACUGAAUAUAAAAGCUCUGGAAUUAUAAGAGGUGUAGCAAAUGGUGGACCAUGAAUCACAAACUGUGCACAUUACAACCAUAUUCCAGAUAUGCUAUCCUUUUUAUGUUGAUACUUCUCUUGGUUGUUUCCAUUAGCUCUGAAAUAUUGUUCUUAUUUAAUAUGAUAAUCCACAGGUUUCAAUUUCCUAUUGUAUCUAUUUGGAUCUUUGGUUCUAAAGAAUAUGACGAGGACGAUCAAUCAUUUCCAGUCAAUCAUUUGGUGAGGCUUCAGAGUUCAGUGAAAUACUUCCAAUUCUAAGUGUAAUUCCACCAGAUUUAAGAAUUCCAAAACUACCAGAAACAUCUGAAGGGAGGCUUCACAUUGAAAAUCCAUAAUAUGUCAGAGCUAGGAAUCUACUUUCUAAAUCCAGAUAUGUUAAUGCAAUCUCUAAACAUUUCACAGAAGUAUCUCAAGUGAACCUAUCUAACAGAGAUGUGAACACUAGUUUGUACUACCAUGUUAGGUGAUUCUUAAACAAAAAUAAUGUGCAAAGCAACAUAUUCAUUGGCAUGCAGGAAUUAUUUUU
rnacentral:misc_RNA from 1 species